rfam:Asian citrus Psyllid, Diaphorina citri - Florida Strain, whole genome shotgun sequence.
GCCUAGUUAGCUUAGUUGGUAGUGCGUCUGCCUUGUAAGCGCUAGGCCGCGGGUUGGAUUCCCGCCCGGGGCG